CUUUCUUGUUUUCCCUGCAACAGUCUUCAGUUCAUUCCUACAAACAGAAAAUAUAGCCGAGCAAAAUCAAAGUUUGUUUAAGUUUUGAUUUCAAGUUGAAAAAAAAAAAAAAAAAAAACCCAAAAAACAAACAACCUUACUAUAAAAAUCUCCUUCUACAGAAACAGGACAUGAACCUUCUUGCUCUGUUUCUGCCCAUGUGGGCAUUGUCUAGCACAUUUUUGUUUUUCUUGCUUGAUGCCAGACCAGAGUCAACAUUCUCCACCAAUUCUAGGCCUGCC
rnacentral:misc_RNA from 1 species